GAGUUACUAGUAAUCGCAGAUCAGAAUGCUGCGGUGAAUGCGUUCCCGGGUCUUGUACACACCGCCCGUCACACCACGGGAGUUGGAGACGCCCGAAGCCGAUUAUCUAACCUUUUGGAAGAAGUCGGCGAAGGUGGAAUCAAUAACUGGGGGGAAGUCGUAACAAGGUAGCCGUAUCGGAAGGUGCGGCUGGAUCACCUCCUUUCUAAGGAGA
rnacentral:rRNA from 1 species